AUGUGCCGUGACACCGCAAGCGGAGGGCUGGAAGGGAGUGGGAAAGCGAGACCAGCAAGGCUUGGUUUUCCUCCGAGCGGGAUUCCAGAUUCUUCUGCUGCUGGAGACGCUGGGCUGAGGGAGAGCCCCGAGGUCCCUGGGGGAGACGGGCACGUGGAAGCGCACCCCGAGCUCGGAGACGCACAGGAGGAGGAGGAGGAGGAGGAGGGAGAGGCUUCCCCUGGACUCCAAGCUGCCAAACCACAGCGCCGAGCCAUGUCACAGGUCAUCCAAAACCACGUGCUGCGCGUUGGCCAGACCGUGCACAUCCCCUCGCGGGAGGACAGCAAGUGCCUGCACGCGGCAGGGUACGCGGGCUGCUCCGCGCUGCCAGCCUCGUACUGCUACUACUCCACGGGCAGCUGGGCUGACCCCAAGGCUGUGGGGUGCCCCACGGGACGCCUGGUGCCUGGCGGGGGGCUGUAUGGAGCCCACCCUGUGCUGGAGCACUCAGCUGGAGCUCAGGGGCAGCAGGAGACAUCCCUGGAGCGAGCCGGGGUCCCUCGCCAGCCGCAGCAGCAGCAGCAGGGGGACGCCGGCACGGAGCCUGAUGCGCACCUCGGCUCUCCUACCUUGGAUAUUUCAAUAGAGAGCCUCAACAAGCUGAUCCUCGAGAUCGAUCCGACCUUCCAGCCGCUCAAGUGCAAGCCGGUGAAGGACACGGCCCAGCCCGCUUCCCAAGGGGACGUCACGGCCACCAAGAAGCACGAGCCGGAGGUGAUAGGUGAGGCAAAGAGGCGCUGCUGGCGCGGCGGGGCCACCAGGGCUCAGACCUGGUGAGAGCUGCUCACGAGAGGUCCGUGGGGCAUGGUAACAUCCCCCUGUCCCCAGAGGGGUCGGUGUUGUGUGGGUGUGCCGCGUCCUGGCAUCGGGGCUUGGUGUCAAAAACAGGCUUUGGGUACCCAGCUUCGGUCUGGUCGCCUCUGCAAGGUCUCUUGUCCGGCUAGCUCAACAGGAGCCAAAAGAACAGCCUUUAAUCCACCCUGAUAUUUCUUUCCCUGCAUUUGGAGAAAACGCUUCUCAUGAGUAAUGGGGCUCUCAGAAAGCUCCUGGUCCACAUUGCUGCCAUCAGGGACCAGAGACGGGCCCUAACCGUGGGAGGUGGUGUCCAUACGUGCCCGACCUCGCAGCAGAGCCCUGCUUUUAUGGAAGGGCAGCGGAGCCUUUCCCUGGGUCACAGCGGACCCGUGGGACAUGAGGAUUUGAAGCCAGAUUUCCAAAGCCCCGGGCUAAGCUACCGAUGGUUACACAACCAUCCUAGUUAAAUGUUCCCCGUCCUUUUGCCAGGGAAAUUCUUUCUCCAGGGCUUGUGCACUCCUCCGGCAGCACGCCUGGCAUGCAUAACGCAGAAUGGCAGCAGCACAGGCACCCACCUCUUGCUGCUCUCACGCCUGGGUGCUUUGGGAACACUUCUGCAUCGCUGCCAUCCCCACAUCCCGAGCUGUGCUGAGCGCUGCGGCUCCUGCUGUGCCUCCCCUGCAGUGUGUGAGCCACUCGGCGUGCACAAGGUGACACAGGCAGGCAGGGAGCUGCACGCUGCUGCUCACGUUCCGGUGUACCGGCUGCCGGAGCGCACAUCUGGGAUGUGUUUCAGUGCCUAAAGAUGCAGUCUGGCUGCCUCUGGAAAGCCCGAUUGCCCAGCCGCGUCUUUAGACGCCAAAAUACCUUGAGAAUCUGUCUGCAGCCCUCAUUCCGGAGAAAGGUCAAAUAAGAGGAUGUUACAGACAGGGAAAAAAAAAAUUCUGUUCUCCCUGAUCCCUCGUGGCUACUCCUGCCCAAG
rnacentral:lncRNA from 1 species